CCUACGGGAGGCAGCAGUCGAGAAUUUUUCACAAUGGGCGAAAGCCUGAUGGAGCGACGCCGCGUGGAGGAUGAAGGUCUUCGGAUUGUAAACUCCUGUCACUACAGAACAAAACUACCGGGUAAACAAUCCGGUGGCUUGAUAGUAUGUGGAGAGGAAGGGACGGCUAACUCUGUGCCAGCAGCCGCGGUAAU
rnacentral:rRNA from 1 species